GCAUCCAUGGCUGAACGGUUAAAGCACCCAACUCAUAAUUGGCGAAUUCACAGGUUCAACUCCUGUUGGAUGCA
rnacentral:tRNA from 94 species